GUCACUUUGGCCAGGCAGCCCCAGAUCAACCAGACGGUCCCUUGGCCAUCGCAGCCCACUCCGCAGACCAGGCAGCAGAAUUAUGCACAACUCAUCCUUAACAUGCAUGGGGACUCAUCCAUAGCAUUGAGGAAACUGGAUUGGUUUACGCAAGGCGUUAAAGGAACAUUUCUUGGCUCAGCUUUUGACUAUAACUCCAGCUCUAAGAUGCUAAUUGUAAAGGCGGAUGGCCUUUACUGUGUGUAUGUCCAGAUUAAUAUUACCCAUCAUUUUGGCAGUACAGAGGAGAUGAAUGCCAACCUCAUCAUCCAUCAUGAGAUACCCGGAAAAUCUGUUUCUCCCCAUGAACUGCUGAACCUUCCCUUACAUCCGUGUCACUAUUCAAAGAAAACAUUUCUUUGCUUCAAAUCUACACUUUAUCGACUGGCAAAGAAUGAUGCACUCUAUGUAACAAUAAGUGCUGAGUCAAAACAAAAUGGGUCCCUGACAUCACUUGGUAACUUUUUUGGCCUCUUCCAGAUAGGUGAGACCUCUUAGUUCAGAAAAGACUGGAAUCAAUAACUGUUCUGUUGUUAUGAGAAGAGUGGAGGAGGUGUUCAAGAACAGCAAUGAAAGACUUUCAUACAAGAUUCCUCUAUCUGAGUGGUUACACCUAUAACUAUUUGGAGGAUCCUGCGGAUUAUUUUCUUGAUUGGAUUUAUUAUCAUAAUCUUUUAUUUAUAUAGCACCAUCAUUGUCCAUGGCACUUUACA